UACGUAGGUGGCAAGCGUUGUCCGGAUUUAUUGGGUUUAAAGGGUGCGUAGGUGGGCUAGUAAGUCCGUGGUGAAAUCUCCAAGCUUAACUUGGAAACUGCCGUGGACACUAUUAGUCUUGAAUAUUGUGGAGGUAAGCGGAAUAUGUCAUGUAGCGGUGAAAUGCUUAGAUAUGACAUAGAACACCGAUAGCGAAGGCAGCUUGCUACACAAUCAUUGACACUGAGGCACGAAAGCGUGGGGAUCAAACAGG
rnacentral:rRNA from 1 species